UACGAAGGGGCGAGCGUUGUUCGGAAUCAUUGGGCGUAAAGGGCGCGUAGGUGGUCCUGUAUGUCUACCGUGAAAGCGUACGGCUCAACCGUAUUUUGUCGGUAGAAACUGCAGGACUUGAGGCUGGGAGGGGCUGGUGGAAUUCCCUGUGUAGCGGUGAAAUGCGUAGAGAUGGGGGAGAACACUCGUGGCGAAGGCGGCCAGCUAGACCAGUUCUGACACUGAGGCGCGACAGCGUGGGGAGCAAACAGG
rnacentral:rRNA from 1 species